rnacentral:rRNA from 1 species
AUGGCGUUUGUCUCGGCCAGGAAGAAAAUGAAUAGAGUGAAGGAGCUAAAGAGGGAAGAUGGAACGGUAGUGAAGGAAGGAGAGGAGCUCUCUAGCUAUGUCUGCUCUUUUUUUCAGGAUCUUUUUACGUCCAGCAUGGGUAAUCGCCUUGAUGAGCUCAUUGCUGAAGUUGAACCCCGGAUCACACAGCCAAUGCAGGCCAUCCUUGAUGCUGAGUUUACUCGAGAAGAGGUGAAGGUGGCUCUCGAUCACAUUGGAGAUCUCAAAGCACCGGACACGGACGGGAUGCCUGCAAUUGUGUACAAAAGACACUGGGAUUUCAUGGGCGAGAAAGCAGUUGAGGAAGUGUUGUCUGUCCUGAACGGGGGACCAAUCCUAGAGGGGUGGAAUGACACGAUGGUCAUGCUAAUCCCGAAAGUAAAGUGCCCGAACCGUAUUAAAGAUCUCUGCCCAAUCAGUCUCUGCAACGUUAUAUCCAAGCUUGUGUCGAAGGUGAUCGCUAACCGGCUAAAGAUCAUCCUGCCUGGUAUAAUUUCUGGCAAUCAGAGUGCAUUCGUCCCCGGGAGGCUCAUCACCGACAACGUGCUCAUUGCUUAUGAGCUGUCACACUAUCUGUUGAAUAAGAGGAAAGGCCGGGAAGGGAUUGUUGGGUCAAAGCUGACAUGA